CAGGAGGCUCAGAUGAGGCCUCCUUGUCUCCAAUCCCAGCCCCUCCCAGGGCAUCCUUAGGGGACACUUCAAGGAACCCAGCAUCCGUGGGCAUGACUUUCUUCAUGGAGGCUCAGAGCUUGAGAGGACAGUGUCUGCAGUGAGGAGUUUGAGAUGUGGAGCCCUUUAUGACAUCACUUCACCAGGCAUGGGGUCAUUGAUGCUGUCUUCCAGUCAGAGCCUCUUACCAGUCGGUCAAGGUUCAGAGAGGAGUGUGGGUGGGCUCGUCCUGCGCUUCACCCUUCUGCGCGGAAUACCUGGAGUGCUAGAGGGGGCAUGGUGUGGCGAGAUGGUGCCAAUUUCAGACAACCACAAUCAAAAGGGAAUCCGAACCACCCAGAGUGUGAGGGAAACCAUGUUUAGAAAUUCCAUGGUCACUUUUCUUUUUGUGGCUGUAUGCUCAUAAAAGUCAUUAAAAAUGGAAACCUUCCCUCUAAUUAAUUCUAAAAUAAAUCUCAAUAUAUACAACAUAAA